rnacentral:rRNA from 1 species
AACGAACGCUGGCGGCAUGCCUAAUACAUGCAAGUCGAACGAGAUCUUCGGAUCUAGUGGCGCACGGGUGCGUAACGCGUGGGAAUCUGCCCUUUGCUUCGGAAUAACAGUUAGAAAUGACUGCUAAUACCGGAUGAUGACUUCGGUCCAAAGAUUUAUCGGCAAAGGAUGAGCCCGCGUAGGAUUAGGUAGUUGGUGGGGUAAAGGCCUACCAAGCCGACGAUCCUUAGCUGGUCUGAGAGGAUGAUCAGCCACACUGGGACUGAGACACGGCCCAGACUCCUACGGGAGGCAGCAGUGGGGAAUAUUGGACAAUGGGCGCAAGCCUGAUCCGGCAAUGCCGCGUGAGUGAUGAAGGCCUUCGGGUCGUAAAGCUCUUUUACCAGGGACGAUAAUGACGGUACCUGGAGAAAAAGCCCCGGCUAACUUCGUGCCAGCAGCCGCCGUAAUAC